rnacentral:misc_RNA from 1 species
UCCGGCUCUACGCCGGCAGUCUCUCUAGAGUCCCCGACUUAACUCGCUGGCAACUAGAGACGGGGGUUGCGCUCGUUGCGGGACUUAACCCAACACCUCACGGCACGAGCUGACGACAGCCAUGCAACACCUGUCAGGGGCCCUUACGGACACUGCAUCUCUGCAGCUUUUCCCCUGAUGUCAAGCCCAGGUAAGGUUCUUCGCGUUACAUCGAAUUAAGCCACAUGCUCCGCCGCUUGUGCGGGUCCCCGUCAAUUCCUUUGAGUUUUAGCCUUGCGGCCGUACUCCCCAGGCGGGGUGCUUAAUGCGUUAGCUCCGGCACGGAAUCCGUCGAUAGGACCCCACACCUAGCACCCAUCGUUUACGGCUAGGACUAC